rnacentral:rRNA from 1 species
GACAGAGGGUGCAAACGUUGUUCGGAAUUACUGGGCGUAAAGCGCGUGUAGGCGGCUAUGCAAGUCGGAUGUGAAAGCCCUCGGCUCAACCGGGGAAGUGCACCCGAAACUGCAAAGCUAGAGUCUCGGAGAGGAUCGUGGAAUUCUCGGUGUAGAGGUGAAAUUCGUAGAUAUCGAGAGGAACACCUGAGGUGAAGACGGGUUGCUGGGCCGACACUGACGCUGAGUGCGCGAAAGCCAGGGGAGCAAACGGG